rnacentral:misc_RNA from 1 species
UCCGAUUUGACAUCGGCAGUCUCUCUAGAGUGCCCAACUUAAUGAUGGCAACUAAAGAUAGGGGUUGCGCUCGUUGCCGGACUUAACCGAACAUCUCACGACACGAGCUGACGACAGCCAUGCAGCACCUGUGUCUCCUGUCCCCGAAGGGCCUCUCAAUGUUUCCACCGAGAUUCAAGAGCAUUCAAGGCUAGGUAAGGUUUUGCGCGUUGCUUCGAAUUAAACCACAUAAUCCACCGCUUGUGCGGGUCCCCGUCAAUUCCUUUGAGUUUUAAUCUUGCGACCGUACUCCCCAGGCGGGAUACUUAACGCGUUAGCUAGGCUACGGCCGGGGUCAAUACCGGCCACAGCGAGUAUCCAUCGUUUAGGGCGUGGACUAC